UACGGAGGAUGCAAGCGUUGUCCGGAAUUAUUGGGCGUAAAGAGCUCGUAGGCGGUCUGUCGCGUCUGCUGUGAAAACUCGGGGCUUAACCCCGGGCCUGCAGUGGGUACGGGCAGACUAGAGUGCGGUAGGGGAGACUGGAAUUCCUGGUGUAGCGGUGAAAUGCGCAGAUAUCAGGAGGAACACCGGUGGCGAAGGCGGGUCUCUGGGCCGUAACUGACGCUGAGGAGCGAAAGCAUGGGGAGCGAACAGG
rnacentral:rRNA from 1 species